rnacentral:rRNA from 1 species
AGAGAGAGACAUGCGCGCAUAUCAAUAAGCGGAGGAAAAGAAACUAACAAGGAUUCCCUUAGUAACGGCGAGUGAAGCGGGAAGAGCUCAAAUUUGAAAUCUUCAAGGUUUUACCUUGACGAAUUGUAGUUUAAAGAAGUGUUUUCUGCUGAAGUUUUGGUAAAAGUUCUUUGGAAUAGGACAUCAUAGAGGGUGAGAAUCCCGUAUUUGACCAUUAUUUUCAGCUUUGUGAUACACUUUCAAAGAGUCGGAUUGUUUGGGAAUGCAGUCCAAAAUGGGUGGUAAAUUUCAUCUAAAGCUAAAUAUUGGCGAGAGACCGAUAGCGAACAAGUACCGUGAGGGAAAGAUGAAAAGAACUUUGAAAAGAGAGUUAAACAGUACGUGAAAUUGUCAAAAGGGAAGCGUUUGACACCAGUGUUGUUUUCUCGAAAAUCAAUUAAAAAUGGCUCGAUUUUGUAUUGCUGAGACCUUAAAAGCUCACUGUACAUUUUUCGUGUCUUUUUUAAUGCACUUUUCGUUUAACAAGUCAACAUCAGUUUCCUUUUGUUGUAAAAGGGUCAUUGGAAGGUGGCUUUCUUUUCGGAGAAAGUGUUUAUAGCCUUUGGCCUCUGCAAUCGGAGAGACUGAGGUCUGCAGCGUAGACUCUUCGGGGUUAGAUACAUUUGUGCUAAGUUAUAGCUUUUUAUAGACAACUUGUUGACUAUAAUUAGUCUUGUAGCUUACUCGCUUAUGCUAUUUUACCUACGCUUAGGAUGUUGAAGAUGUAGCACAUCAU